AACGAACGCUGGCGGCAUGCCUAACACAUGCAAGUCGAACGAGACCUUCGGGUCUAGUGGCGCACGGGUGCGUAACGCGUGGGAACCUGCCCUUAGGUUCGGAAUAACUCCCCGAAAGGGGUGCUAAUACCGGAUAAUGUCUUCGGACCAAAGAUUUAUCGCCUUUGGAUGGGCCCGCGUUGGAUUAGCUAGUUGAUAGGGUAAAAGCCUACCAAGGCGACGAUCCAUAGCUGGUCUGAGAGGAUGAUCAGCCACACUGGGACUGAGACACGGCCCAGACUCCUACGGGAGGCAGCAGUGGGGAAUAUUGGACAAUGGGCGGAAGCCUGAUCCAGCAAUGCCGCGUGAGUGAUGAAGGCCUUAGGGUUGUAAAGCUCUUUUACCCGGGAUGAUAAUGACAGUACCGGGAGAAUAAGCUCCGGCUAACUCCGUG
rnacentral:rRNA from 1 species